CUUCCCCCCUCUCUCCAAGCCGCCGCCUCUCUCCCUCUUUCUCCCCUUUCCGCCUUCCUCCCUUUCUCCCUCUCUUCGCCUCACCCUCUCUCUGCCUACAUCUUCUCUCUCCCUUUUCCGGCAGCCGCCUCCCCUCUCCCGUCGCUCCUCCUCCCCUCUCUCUCUCCCCGGCGACCCCCCUCCUUCUCUCCUCUUCUUCCCCUCUUUCUCCCUCCAUUCUUCUCCUCUGCCCGCCUCUUACUCUUCUUCCGCUCUUCCCCUCUCUCUUGAGCAGCCGUCGCUCCUCCUCCCUUCGCUCUCCUCGGUGACCCCCUCCUUCUCUCCUCUUCUCCCUCUCGUUUUGCUCUUCUCUCCCUUUCCCUCUUCUUCCCCUCUUUAUCCCUCCGUUCUUCUCCUCUCUCUGCCUCCCUCUUCUCUUCUCCCCCUCUUUCCCUCCUCUCUCCCCUCCCGUCUCUUCUCUUCCCCUUCCUCUUCUCCUUUCUCUUUUUUUUUUUGCAGGUGCCAGCAACUGCAGCAGUGAUACAGCAGCAGCCUACAAGAGAAACAGAAACACCACCAGCCAAAAAAUAACGAGCUCCGACGGAGCUUCCUCUAUGAGAUUUCGAAGUUAUUUAAAACUGAUCUGCUACAGUUCCGUUCAGGGAUAGAAAUCUGAUUGAUAUUCACAAAAGUUGGUCUAUUUUUGCUUCAUGCUUUAAGGAAAAUUGGUCAAUUUUUACUACUUCAUGGUUAUGCUAAAAAUCUUUUUUAUUCUUUCUUGAUAUUUCUACAUUGUUAAUUUGGCUUGAUAAUUGUUCCUCCAUAUCUAUCAGGAUCCCAUAAAUAUAAUAAUUUAGCUAAUUGCUUGGUCAAAUUGCGCUUUUGCUUUGAUUUAGAUUUCUGCUUAUUAUUAACUUUUUUUUUGCUUACCCAUAAUUAAUUUAGUUUAGUUUAUUGGACCCUCUUGGCUAUGGUUAGUUUGAUUAACGAAUUGAAGAGUGUGCUACUUCUUUCCUUAUUAUUUUCCUAUUUGUUAAUUCUAAUAUUGAUUGAUAGUAUAUAAAUUGUUUCCCUUUUCCUUUUUAAAAGAUAUAAUUAUUUUAUUUCCUUGUGGCUAAUAGUGUUUAAUUAUGGCAGCCCAACUCUUGCUUGCUCUUAUUUGGUAAAAAAUAUCCUUACACUUGGUAAAAUAAAUACAUAAAAAAAAAGUGAUAAAAUAUAUGAUUUGACUCUUCUUUAUUUAAGGGGAAAAUAAUAUUUCUCUUCCUAAUUUAUUCUUGCUUAUAUUUGGAAGUGAUAUAUUUUUAUUUUGGUUGAUUUGAACCUCCUUUAAAAUAAGGAAAAUAGUAUAUUGAUUGAUUCCUUAAAAUAUUUCUUUUCGUUAUUUGUUUCCCCCUCCUAGCUAUAUAAUUAAGACCCCCUCCUUUCAUUAAAUCGAUCAACUCAUACACUCAUUCACUCUCAAUCACAAGUUCUCUCAUCACUCUUCCUUCUCUCAUUGCUCUCUUGCUACUCUCACAAUACAUUAAGAUUCCGGUAAACAUUCAAGUGUUCUUCUUCGCUAUUUUGCUAUUUUGCUUUUGUUCGAGUAAAGGUUGGAUCAACUUGUUUUCAUUGCUACCAUUCCUAAUCUACUUAACCGGUUAGUAUUCGGAAUUAGCAUUUACAUUAUUUUUUUUGUAUUUGUACAUUUGUGUGAGUUCAUUGCUCUAUUCCUUUGUUAUGUAUAAGUUGUUAAACAAUUGCAUAUUGUCUCACCUUGACUAAUAAAUGUGAUUACCUGUGUAGUUAUUUGAGUGCUUUGACAGGUUUCAAACUUGAGUUCAAGUUGAAGAUUAGCCAUGAAGAAAGAGUUAUUUGUUUAUUUGAAUCUAUAUUUUUUCUUCUUAUUUUAUUGGAAUGUUGUAACAUUUGUAUAACUCUAAAGCUCAUAUAUAUAAAUUUAUUUGGGGGAUCGUCUAGGGGAAGGAGAUUUACGUGCUA